ACACACUAACCUUAUCGGGCUUAUGAUUGCUCCCAUCUUCAUCCGAAGUGAAACCCUCAGUUUAAAAGUAACUCUAAUAAAACGGCGAGUGUAAUUUUUGGAAAAAACGUCGCGUGUAAUUAUUGCAUUGAAAAAACGUCGCGUGUAAUAUUGCAUUGAAAAAACGUCGCGUAUAAUAUUGCAUUGAAAAAACGUCGCAUGUAAUCAUUGCAUCAUUCCUGAAAAAAACGUCGCGUGUAAUUCUGAAGAAAAAAACGGCGAGUGUAAUUUUAAAGGAAAAAAAACGACGAGUGUAAUGAUAAAAAAAAACGGCGAGUGUUUACAGUCAUGGCCCUUCUCGGCCAUCGUAUAUUUAGCUUGCUUCGUUCUUGAGAUAUUUAACGUUUGAUUUGCAAUUUUAUAACUCUUAUAGAUAACAUGACUUUGUAGUAUGUUGACAUGACACAUAUGCAACGGUUACAUGAUUUCGGUGCACGAUAUUUCAAAAAGUUAUGCAAUGUGAGGUCAUAUUGGAGGAUAAUUUACAUAUCAAAAACUGGUAAAUAUCUCAAGGACGAAGCAAGCCAAGAGCGUGUUUAUCCCACGUAUAACCCACAGAAUCGUUCACAGAGACAUUUUAAGAUUGAAAUCUAUCGAGAAAAUGUUAUUUACAACAAUAUGUUUGCGUGAACAGAGCAAUAACACUCAUCCCGCGUAGGCGAGCCUGCCCGGGUCAUUGCGUUUAUAUGGGGAAUUCCCAGCCCGGUCACCCGAGAUAUUGGGUCAGUCGAGGCAGGAUCUUGCUUCGGCAGGCUAGCUCGAUUCGCAUAUAAACGCCAAAUGAAAUUUAGUAGUUAGGGCUUAGAAGGGGCCAAAGUCAAUGACAUGAUAUAUCCAUGUAGUGUACAUGUGUAUCAGUGUAUUAAUGGAUUAUGACUUAUGUCUGUACAACUCAUCCAAUUUUGCCCUUCAUUACAAUUACUGCGAAGUUUCUGUCAAAACAUUGCAUUAAAAGGAUACUUGACACAGAGACGAAUGGCUAUCACUGUUUCAAUUUUACAGAAAAACCUUACGAAGUGUAGAACCUUGUUAGUAGACCCUAAAAACGUUGUUAGUAGACCCUAAAGCAACCAAAAAAUUUCAAAUUUUCACUUUGAUCUAUCAUUGAAAUUUUCCCAAGGGUCCGUGCAUGACUUUUCCCAAGGGUAGGUGCAAAAAUUCUUAGGGGAGGUGCAAAGCGAUCUCAGCGGAGGUGCACACCUCCCGCAAAAUCCGGCCAUGCUAGGAAAUAAUAAUAAAGGCUGGAUCCUCGCCUAAACCGGGUCAGCUCGGGUACCCGGGCUGGCUCGCCCCAUAUAGACGAGAGAGUUUGGCAAAGUAUCUUAAUUGAUCAUUUUGAAUUUUCUUUACGAUGCAAUGGAACAAAAAUAGUUGCAUAAACACUUGAAUCAGAGUAACAUCAUAGAGUUCUUACUAAUAACAGAUGCGUGGUUUUAUUGCAUUAACUAUAUUGCUAUUUAUUAUGUUGGUAUCGUUCAUAAAUUAAUGUUAUAGAGUAUUUAUUUCCAUAGUGUACAAAAAAAACUAUGUAUUGUAUAUUCAAUAUGUUCUGUUUGGAAAUAGAAAAUAAAUGCAAGUAAGCACAUAGGGGUGAGCUGAAUUGCAAACGAGUUGAAGGCUUUCUAAGAGCCACUCACACUCACACUCAAUGAGUGGAAGUUCAAUCUGAGCUUCUCUCGAGUGUCAUUGCUGUUUUUGAAUAGCUGGAG
rnacentral:lncRNA from 1 species